AGUGGUACCGUCAGCACCCAACUUGUUGUGUCGGGAUGGGUUCUUCCCACUUGACAGAGCUUUACGACCCAAGGCCUUCAUCACUCACGCGGCGUUGCUGCGUCAGGGUUUCCCCCAUUGCGCAAAAUUCCUC
rnacentral:rRNA from 1 species